AGGUAUUAAUUGGCACUCUGUCCUGGGUAAAUGCUGUUGUGCCCAAUUCAAUCCACCAGGUGGACGGUCGUUUCCUGCUGAGAGUACGCUGUGCAUGAUUGGCUGCCACUUCUCACUGGUGUGUGGAUGAGGGCCGAGUAUAAAUGGUUGUCUGUCUAUCUGUCUGUCUGUCUGUCUGUCUAUUUAUCUAUCUAGUCUUCUCCCAAAGUUUCUUAAUCUUAGUGGCACCAUUUCUGUGUUGCUUACUCAUAAGGCUUGGACCCGUAUCUCUUUCAAGCUGCUUUGUGACAACAUUUCUUGUAAAAAGCACCAUAGAAAUUAAUUUGAAUUGAAUCUCCGUCUGCUAGAGGAAACUGGAAACUGGAAAGCUUAACAGUAAACAUCAGGUAAGUGAAAAUGAGGUAAAGUAAGUGCUCUCUACUUUACUUGGUGUUUGUUUUUAGUGCUACAGUUUGUCCGGAGUUCGAUUAAACAGUGUAAGAGUUCUCACAGUGAGCCAGGCUGACGCUAAAAAAGUCGUCCAUUCCAGCUGCUUUUAGGGUCCUCGCCAGUUCACAUUUGGUGAACCGCUUGGCGCUGACUGCCGCCACCAGCAGAAGGAGAACCCAGAUCUUCAUCCUGCUGCAGGAGGAGAACGGAUCUCUAGAAGUGCUGUGAAUCUUCUGUGUCACCUGUCUUGCACACCUCCCUUAAAUACAUACCGCUUGAGGAACUGGGGCAGUUGCUGGAAUAUUACAACAAAGAUAUUACAACAAAGCAUUGUGAAAUACUGAACAACUAAAUGUGAUGGCAUGGACUUUUAUUUUGCUUUUUGCUGUGUUCCACUUCCUGGAGCGGCCAUUUUGUCUCUUCCUGGUUAUGCUUAUUGUUGCUGUUUUCCUCCCUUCAUUGAGUGGCUAAUUAGCAAAAUGGUUUCUUCCAUGCUCUGAUUGGCUUAGGCCCUAUAAAUUAGCCCCUUUGACCUCCUUAAAGCAGGCAACACAUGCACAUCUCUAUUUUGAUUUGCCCCUCUAGCUGCUGCUGGAAGCUCCUGUUUGAAGCCAAUGCCGUUCAUGCUUUUAAGGCCCCUUGGAUGUGUGGAUUUAUGCAGUGGUGUUCAGUCGCAUAAAGAGCCCUGUGUUUUAAUAGAAUAACUAUAUUCUUGAUUUGGUACUAAUGUUUUAAUUACAGUAAAAAUAAAUGUUAAUGAGAUUUCUAUUUUGUGUGGAAAAUAAAUUAAUUAUUUUGGAAA